rnacentral:rRNA from 1 species
AGUGAACGCUGGCGGUGUGCCUAACACAUGCAAGUCGAACGGACACACAGUAAGCGCCUGCUCUUAAGGGUGGCGGGGGGCGGGCGGGUGAGACAUACAUCAGCUUCCUCUAUUACUUGGAGAACUUCGUGGGGCAAGUUCCGCUAAUACCGCAUACGUUCUACGGCUGAAUUCAAUAGAUCAUCGCAGCUUGCCUGUCUCAUUGAGCCGGUGUCGGAUUAGCUAGUUGGCGUGGUAAAGGCCCACCAAGGCGACGAUACGUAGCUGGUCUGAGAGGAUGAUCGGCCACACUGGAACUGAGACACGGUCCAGACUCCUACGGGAGGCAGCAGUAGGGAAUAUUCGACAAUGGGCGAAAGCCUGACCCAGCCACGCCGCGUGGGUGAAGAAGGCCUUCGGGUUGUAAAACCCUUUUAUUGGGGAAGAAAAACUGUGUGUGUAAAUCCCGCUGUUCUGACGGUACCCAAACAAAAAGCACCGGCUAACUUCGUG